UUUAGAAUUUGAGUUAUAAGGUCAAAGGUUUAUCAAAUUUUAUAAUGUCUAAUUUUUUUAGCAAUUAAUAUUUUUAUUUUUUAUUUUUUAUUUUUAUUUUGUAAUCAAAAUAUGACACGCGACAGUUUUUUAUCCCCUUAGUAUUAUUUGAGGAGCAUUCUUAAAAAUAAACUUUUCUCUCGGGUGUUAUUAUCAAAUUUGUCAUUACUUAGGUUUCAUCAUGAGAGUCUUCC
rnacentral:lncRNA from 1 species